UACGUAGGGUGCAAGCGUUAUUCGGAAUUAUUGGGCGUAAAGGGCGCGUAGGCGGCUUGGCAAGUGGAUGGUGAAAUCCCUCGGCUUAACCGAGGAACUGCCGUCCAAACUGCUUUGCUUGAGACCGGGAGAGGUGAGUGGAAUUCCCAGUGUAGCGGUGAAAUGCGUAGAUAUUGGGAGGAACACCUGCGGCGAAGGCGGGUUGCUGGGCUGACACUGACGCUGAUGCGCGAAAGCCAGGGGAGCGAACGGG
rnacentral:rRNA from 1 species